UUUUGUAUGUGGUUCAUAUUUCAGGGGUCCCGGAAGAGUUGUUUGAGGUUUCUGUUUGGCCAAAUCAGGCCCUGGUGGAGUUUGGACAGUCCCUAGUGGUCAACUGCAGCACUACUUGCCCAGACCCAGGACCCAGUGGAAUUGAGACCUUCUUAAAGAAAACUCAGGUGGGCAAAGGGCCUCAGUGGAAGGAGUUUCUUCUGGAGGAUGUCACAGAGAAUUCCAUCCUGCAGUGCUUCUUCUCUUGUGCAGGGAUUCAAAAGGACACAAGCCUUGGCAUCACUGUGUAUCAGCCACCAAAACAAGUGAUCCUGGAGCUGCAGCCUCCCUGGGUGGCCGUGGAUGAACCCUUCACAGUGAAGUGUCAUGUGCCCAGCGUAGCACCCUUGGAGAGUCUCACCCUUGCCCUUCUCCAGGGUAACCAAGAACUGCAUAGAAAGAACUUUAUGAGCUUGGCUGUGGCCUCCCAAAGAGCUGAGGUCAUCAUCAGUGUCAGAGCCCAAAAGGAGAAUGACAGGUGCAAUUUUUCCUGCCAUGCAGAACUGGACUUGAGUUUGCAAGGUGGGAGGCUCUUUCAAGGCAGCUCACCCAUCAAAAUAGUCCGGAUCUUUGAAUUCUCUCAGAGUCCCCACAUCUGGGUCUCUUCCCUUUUGGAGGUUGGGAUGGCGGAGACUGUGAGCUGCGAGGUGGCUAGGGUGUUUCCAGCCAAAGAAGUUAUGUUCCACAUGUUCCUGGAAGACCAAGAGCUGAGCUCCUUCCUUUCCUGGGAAGGGGACACAGCAUGGGCCAAUGCUACCAUUCGGGCCAUGGAGGCUGGUGAUCAGGAACUGUCUUGCCUUGCAUCUCUGGGUCCAAUGGAACAGAAAACAAGAAAGCUAGUGCAUAGCUACAGUAAGUGACCUGGCUCUUCCUUUUUCAUAUGGGUUCUCUGCUGCUGAAAACACAGAGUAACGGGUUGGUGAUUCGGCUGUAGAUAUCCCUGCUGCCCUUUGCUGGGUAUGCUCUCAAAUGAACAUGGGUCUUCAUCUUUCUCUGGCUUCCCUCCACCAAUCCUGGAGCUAAAAGAAUCAUACCCAUUGGCAGGGACCAACAUUAAUGUGACCUGCUCAGGGAACGUAUUAACAUCACCCAGCCCUACUCUUCGGCUUCAGGGAGCCCCAGACCUCCCUGCCCCUGGGGAGCCUGCCUGGCUUCUACUUACUGCCAGGGAGGAAGAUGAUGGCCGAAAUUUCUCCUGUGAGGCCUCUUUAGAGGUGCAGGGUCAGCGGUUGAUGAAAACCACUGUGAUCCAGCUCCAUGUCCUAUACAAGCCACGGUUAGAGGAAUCCAGUUGCCCUGGCAAACAGACCUGGCUGGAAGGGAUGGAACACACGCUCGCCUGCGUCCCAAAGGGAAACCCAGCUCCAGCCUUGGUGUGUACCUGGAAUGGGGUGGUCUUUGACCUUGAAGUGCCACAGAAGGCAACCCAGAACCACACUGGAACCUACUGCUGCACAGCCACUAACCAGCUGGGCUCUGUCAGCAAAGACAUUGCUGUCAUUGUUCAAGGACUGGAUGAAGGAAUCAGCUCUACCCUCUUUGUCAUUAUUACCGUUGCCCUUGGAGUGGGUGUCAUCACCAUAGCACUGUAUUUGAGUUAUCGGCCCUGCAAAGUGGACAGGAGGAAAUUGCUCUAUAGGCAGAAAGAGGAGGACAAAGAAGAGGAAAGCCAGUUUGCUGUUCAGGAAGAGAAAAGUGCAACUCAUAUAAUUGACAGCUAUUUGAUUGAGUGAGACUUCUGCUACUGUGGUUUCCCAGGGAGGGAAGAAGGGAUAGAGGAGAAAGGAAGAAACACAAUGGCAGGCUGCACUACCCUUUGUGUACGUCUGUCCUGUAAAACAGUGUUUCAGGCCCCCAUGCCCCAUGUCCUGUGUGUCCAAUAUGUCCACAAGCUCACCUUUCUCUCUCCCUCUCUCUUUUUUUUUUUUUUUUUUUUUGAGAUGGAGUCUCACUCUUGUCGCCUAGGCUGGAGUGCAAUGAUGUGAUCUCGGCUCACUGCAACUUCAGUUUCCCGGGUUCAGGCGAUUCUCCUGCCUCAGCCUCCCCAGUAGCUGAGAUUACAGGUGCACACCACAACUCCUGUCUAAUUUUUGUAUUUUUCGUAGAGAUGGGGUUUCACCAUGUUGGCCAGGCUGGUCUCAAACUCCUGACCUCAAGUGAUCCGCCCACCUCGGCCUCCCAAAAUGCUGGGAUUACAGGUGAGAGCCACUGCGCCCAGCCGCCUUUCUCUUUAGAGCUCACUCUAGUCAUUAGGAAUCUCAGUCUCAAUGUUUGAUUUGUAAGAAGGCCUCUUGCGCCUUGCCAGGUGCUUCAUCAGUCCACUCUUAGAUCCAAAAAAAAAGAAAAGAUCUUGCCGUUUCUUCAUGAUUCUCACUGCCCUUUUCUCUUAAACAUCAUACUAAAUAAAGUCAGGCACAUCUUAGAAAUACAACUCAUAUUUCAUGGUUUUCUGAUUACUAACUGGGAACUAAAUCUGUAGUCCAGGGACAGGACUUUGAAGGGAGUAAGUAUCAAAUAUGGGGCUAGAAAUCAGAGCUCUGUUCCCAUCUCCACUUUCCCUUGCUCUCCUGACCUGGGCUUCUGGAGUGCCAGCUCCCAGAGCUGGGCUUGUUGACAUCAUUAAAGAUCAGCGGCAAGCUCCAACUCAGUAACCAUCUGUUGUGGGUCUUGGGAGAGUAUACAGAUGGUAAGAAAUUCCACUUCGGGCCAGACAAGCAUCCUAUCUAGCCCAGUGUUCUGUCUCUGAAGUAGAAGGUAGAGUUCUUCCAUGAAAUUGGCCUCAUAGGUUAAGAGUUCCAAACAUCUCCGAAUUCCUUUUCAUAGAGUGAUCAACUGUGAGUUCGCAUUUGCCAGUUUUCUUUUUUUUACCUAUAUGGGCGUCUAGGUUAGAGUUGCAAUGUUUACUCUCCCUUUUCAUCAAUAAGGACAUAUUUUCAUCUAUCUGUAAACAAUUUCCUUGAAGCUUCAAGAGGAAUCCUCUUGUGAAAAUGUUCAUAUGAUUUUAUGAUUCUGCUUCCUUCCCUGUCUUUGGGAAGGAGUAUAUUCACCCUCGGAGAAGGCAUGAGGAAUCAUAAAACCAGAUCUUUUCUCCCAAAUCAGUCAAGAAAUGUUCACUGGAAUGUUCCUAUGGUAAAAAUAAAAGUGAUUUUAUGAUAUCCA
rnacentral:sRNA from 1 species